GCCCGGAUAGCUCAGUCGGUAGAGCAGGGGAUUGAAAAUCCCCGUGUCCUUGGUUCGAUCCCGAGUCUGGGCACCA
rnacentral:tRNA from 1 species